ACAGUUUUUAAUCGGUGUUUUAUAUUGAUCGACGACUCCCAUGCUUCUCAAAAUAGAAUAAAUUCAAGGAGAUAAAUCGUGGCUGAAAUUGAACCCUCUGCUUACGCCCUCAUCCGACGUCUCAAACCCGACUGUUUCAUCCGUUACACCCACAGAGUUACCAAAAAUAAGUAGUCAGGGCGUUAUUGAGAUUAUUUAGCUCUAGAUUUUCAUCCGUAACCAACGGAAAACUAAACACCAGGGUAUAAAUUAAAUCUUUACUCUUUGGUUUCAGUAUGAAGGUUGUGAUUGUCUUAGCGGUAGCGGAAGUGGUAUGUAUUCUCUGUUCUAUUUUAACCGGGCAAUGUUAUGAAUAUAAGGGUUUUUUCUAAUUUCAUUUUGCUGGUGAUAUUCUCUAUGUUUGUGUCAAACCACCAUCUUACGGUGCUUCUCUUUAUCUUGUUUACGAUUUUUUACAUAAUUGCAGGUUGGGUUUUGAGCAAAUAUUUGUGUUUGUAUAACUCUUAAUUAUGUACCUUCUAUUAGGAACUCACACUUGGUUUAGACUGAUUUCUAGAGUUUGGGAAUUCACAGAUUUGCAGUGAAGUAUGAAUCGAGAGCCUAAUCCUGAAAAAUACUUUGUUCGAUCCUUUGGAUCUGCUGAAUGGUAAACGUUUAAGGAUUUUUUUUUUCUUUUUGAAAAUAAUGUUUCAGGAUUAUACGACCUCAAUGCUUGAUUUUAAUUUGCUCACUGCUUGGAACUUGGAAAUUUGUUUUUCUAUGAUUACGGUGUGGAGGAUAUAUUGAGAAAAGAGACGGGCAUCUGUCUUUCCCAUGUUCGGUUUGUGAAUCAAUUUUAUAUAUAGGUUUUGGAUAUAAUCUAAAGAGGGGCGAGAGAACGGAGUAAGUUUUCAUCUUUAUGAUUCCAAAAUUUUGAUUCAGUAUUUGUUAUAUGUUUUGAUAUACUCAGGUUUGCUACACAUCGAAAAUGCUAAGGUAUCAAUUUAGUUUUGUUUUGGAGAUUUUUUACUAUGUCGACAAGAAGCUGUUAUCGGCACUCAAAUUUUUAAGUAUUAGUUUUAGAAAAAUUAUGCUUCAUGGUGUUUUUUUUUAGUUGUUAUUCUUUACCUUUUCUGAGGUUUAAUUGUCAAUGUCAAUGUAAAGUUGAAAUUACUAAUUGGAAAUAAAAUUUAAUGGUUUAUUGUUCUCAGAUUUCAUAUUGAUUCAUGUAUACAGUAUUUUGAGUACCCAUGGCUCUUAUUUGUGGGAAAUUUGCACCAUAUCUCCUCUAGGGUUGUUCCAUUUUCCUUGAGCAUUUCACGUUGUUGUCCCAAAAAGACGGUUUUGUCUUGCUAAGAAUGUGCACCGUGUGCUUUUCAAGUAGAACACCGUGUGCAUGCUUGUGCAAUAAACUCGAUGCUUAUAUUUUAAGAAAUGAAGCAGAGGUAUGGGUGUGCAUAAAGUUUCUCAUACAAUGGGCCGAGUUAUAAUGACCUGAUGGUACUUGGAGAUAUCAGGUAUGUACGCUUGGAGAAGGAAGCCCAAAACAUAACAAAUUAGGCGGAAUUGGUGUUCUAAGGCCUCAACUCCAGUUUAACAUACAAGAAGCGGUGUCUUCGAAUGUAGAGAAAAUGAAUUAUGGACAGAAGGAAGCAAUCAACGAAAUAAUGGAGUCGGAUAAAAGAAUGAGUGUUAUGUAAGGUUGUGUUUCAUUGGUGAUUAGCUAAUUUAGCUAGCUGUUUUUCCUGUUACAAGUAUUUUUAGUUUCGUUGCAACACAGAGAAUUGGGUGUAUGUGGCCGGUCAAUUGAAUGCAAAUGAAGCCGGGAUUAUGUAGUAGGUUACAAACUUCUGAUUUAUAUCGGAUGGAUACCCAUGAUCAGAUGAUACUGUUGUUUGAUAUUUUAAUGAGAACUAAGAAAUGCAUUUUCAU